rnacentral:lncRNA from 1 species
CUGCACUAAGCAGACAAGAGCAGACAAGCAGGAACGUGUUCUAAGAGUUUCUAACUUUAGGACCAUGAAUCAGGAUCUGCUGUACUCGCUGCACAGAAUGGAUGCAAUUCCCAAGGCCCACACAGCAAACCUGAAAGCUGUCUUAGGCACGUUCCUCUCAAGUUGUACGUCUGUUGCUCUUGGAGCACACUGACCAACUCAGGAGAGCACAAGUGGCAAGCAGCAGCUUGGUGCAGUGAAUCCCGAGCGCAGCUCCCUCUCAUAGCUAUGCUCAUGUUAGCGCCUAUUGAAAGGUGAGCAGUAUUGUAUUGAGCAGUCUCACUUCGCCUCCCUUCCAGGUGUGCCUUCCUGUCUCCUUUGUACAGCAUUCCUGAUUUUGGAGGGUGAACUUUCUGCAAGUUAGCUUUCUGGGUCACUGCUGGGCAAGGCAAGAGCCAGGGCUGGCUUCGGGAAAGCUGAAGGAACUCCCAGCCUGGAAGAAGAAGGAGGACAAGACAUACGUUGCAAGCCUGCUCCACGCUGGAGGGCACAAGUUACCCACUGCACUUUCUUCAACAAAAAACCCCACUCUGCAGGAAACAAAAUGAGGCCGCGGUGCAGAGAUGAGAAGAAAGGCAGCCUGCAACAACGGACACAGCGCUCAGAGAGAUUUUUGCCUCGGCGAGACAUUCUGCAAACAUGCUAAGGCUACAAAAUGCCCAAGUUGACAAAGACAUGCAACGCUGACCAUUCAAUAAGUCACGGCUAUUAGAGGAGCGACCAUGCCCACCUGGGCCGCAGGUCCCAUAGGACAGGGAUGGCGUACAGCGAUCAUGGCAACGCACUACACAGGACCUAGUAACCUGAGGUAGGUCUCUUCACAGUAAGAAAACAACAUCCUACACCAGUGUUACAUCCUGAUCUGCAGGAACCCGUUUAAAGUUCCAGGAGACGUGGAGUGGGGGACUGUUUCCUUAACAAGUGUGCAAUAAAGAAACAGGAAAUAUUGGUGUUGUUUAACCUUAGUAUACGUGAGCGGGACAAAGAGUUAGUGUUACUCGUGCCAGUGAAAGCCAACCUAAACCUCUGAGGAGUGUUAGCAGCUUCAAGAUAAAGGAGUCAGUCAGCUGGAGCAACUUGGAAAAGGCUUUCCUGCCAGCAUACAGGGUAAUGGUUUGAACCUUACGAUUAAUUUGUUACACGUCAUUCCAUAAACAGUUACAUUCUGGUUGUGUUAGAUCAGCGAAGCAGAAAGAGCAUAAACCCUGCUGAUACAGUCAGAAAUACUGCACCAGGACACUGAGAAAAUAGGAGGCUUUAACGUGACCCAGAAGUGGUUCUCCACUCAGGAGAUCACUAAAAACCCUGCUUUGGGAAAGCAUUAUGGCAAGCAGCAGCCGCUGCCGUGGUGAACAUUAGCGAUGCUCCAAAUAGCUUUGAUAAAUUACAAUGCAAUAGAGUUACACCACAGUGCUCUUCUCCCCUGUGCUAGACAACAAUGAUGUGACAAUAAAGGACACUAUUGCAAAGCUUCACUUCCACUCAGACACGCAGAAAAUCUGGCACUAGGAAAAGACAACUGUAAGAGACAAAAUGGUGUCUGAUACAGCCCGAUAACAAAGCCAGAUCUCCGGUACCAUAAACUGUACAAAAAUGAUAGAAAAGAAUAUGCACUGUUAUUA